rnacentral:tRNA from 1 species
UUGGGGCGUCGUCUAAUGGCAGGACGGAGGAUUUUGGUUCCUCCAAUCGGGGUUCGACUCCCUGCGCCCCAGU